rnacentral:tRNA from 1 species
GGUGGAGUGGCCGAGAGGCGAGGCAACGGACUGCACAUCCGUGCAUGCGUGUUCGCAUCCCGUCUCCACCUC